rnacentral:rRNA from 1 species
GUGCCAGCGCGGUAAUACGUAGGAUGCGAGCGUUUGUCCGGAUUUAUUGGGCGUAAAGCGAACGUAGGCGGUUUCUUAAGUUUGGUCUUAAAGACCGAGGCUCAACCUCGGGAGUGGACUGAAUACUGGGGAACUAGAGGAUGUUAGAGGAAAGUGGAAUUCCAAGUGUAGCGGUGAAAUGCGUAGAUAUUUGGAGGAACACCAGUGGCGAAAGCGGCUUUCUGGGACAUUCCUGACGCUGAGGUUCGAAAGCUCGGGGAGCAAACAGG